CUGGUAGCGAGCACAUGGACGUGAGGUCGAGAUUUGUGUCUGCGAGACGCUCGAGUGAUAAGCAGGAAUAAAAAACGGAAUAAAAUCCACAAGGAUGCAACAAACCAGCCUGAACAGCCCGGGCGGCAGUGUUGCAGACCCCUGUUCAGGUCUCACUGCACCUUCUGCACUCACAGACGACGGAUGAUCUGACGGGACAGGAUGCAAAAGGACACAGAUACACCCUGACUGGCCCCCUGUGCUGCUCUGCAUUGUGGUUGGGAAGUACCUAAUGUUACAACUGUCAUGCUGGUCUGCUUAAAGGGACAGUGCCGAUUUAUUUCAUUAUGACACCUUGACAAGGGGACAUACAGUCAGAUGUUUAAUGUAAUAGCAUGGAGCCAUUUGUCUGUGCAGAGUUUAGGAGUCAAAAUUGUUUUUGCUAUUAACAAUUAAAGCUUUAAAACAUGCCAAAUUGCAUGAUAGACAUUUGUUUAAUAGAAACAUAAACUGAAUAGAAUUAAAAGGUGUCAUCAUUUCAUGCUCUUGAAAAAAAGAAAGUUUACUCAAAUUCCCACCGCUUGACAAAACUAAAUUUGUUGGGCGCAGGAAUACAUUAUGAAUGCGUGAUGUAGAGUAAAUGUAGCUUAACCACAGAGAUGGAAGUACCCUUGUAUAUUUUAUGACACUUGACAGAAUUGAAUGUUUUGAAAAAGCUGCACACUGAAUAAAAGUUUCAUUCAGGCAGAUGUUUAUCAGGCAUGUUUUACUUGAAGUGGGUAAAGCCAGUCCUGGCUGUUCUGCUUCACUGCCUCCUGUUUACCACUGCAGAGGGUGAAAGUGAAGCUACUCUCCUCACACUGUUUACAAGAGUCAUUUACACACACACACACACACACACACACACACACACACACACACACACACACACACAAUACACUAUAUCUGCACUUAUUACAAAAUCCUAACCACAACAUAGAUAUACUGCUUAAUGAAUUAGGUGUUGUUCUGCAGGUUUGGGCCAGUUAUUACAUAUAGUACUUGGACCAAAAAAGGCUUAAUACAUAUUAAAGAUAAAUACUACUCAAACCUUAUUUUUUAUAAUUUGACUAUUUCUAUUGACAAUAAAAACGUAUUGCUCAGCAGACUCAUUGCUGAAAUCUGGGAAAACGGCAACACAGACAGGUUUUAAACAAACUCAGGUUUGCUGUGCUGAAUCUUCAACCUUGACUUAAAGUUUCAACGUAACAACAACAACAACACAAAAUACCAAUUCUGACCGAUCGUGUUCUAAAACCACAAAUUCACACCAAACUGUGCACCAUUCCCUCUGGAGCCACUUUAAAGUAAGCAUUCUCCAACAGUGUGUGGACAAAGCUUCAACAGGCACAAGGAAUUAACACUUACGUCAGCUAUCUGGUUUGGCUUUGAGAUCCAUGCAGGGAGCAUCUAUAUUCACUUUUAAAUAAAAUGAUAGCUAAUCAGUCUAAACUGUUUCCAGACCUUGUAUUACGCUAACCAGCUGCUGGCAAUAGCAUGCAAAACUAUUCCUUUAACACACAGUGCUGUGGCAUUAACUGAAGCAGGUGAAGUACAUUGCUUAUGGACAGAGGAAUAACGAUUUGACUGUGUCACUUCCACUUCAGUCUCCCUGUUUGACUACAGAGCAGGUGUCGGUUAAUUAAAUUGACUUCACACUACAUCCUUCUCUCUUUGGUCAGCCCAGCAGAAACCUUGGAUAUGUUAGUCAUGCUCACUGGACUGGAUAUCCUUCUGCUACUGUUACAUUUUAUCUCCCUUGUAACGUCACCCCUCCCUGCCUCUGCUUCAACUUGAAACACUCCUCCUGAGAAGCUUUGGUUUUCUCAUACCACAACUGUUACAAGUGAUCGCAACCACAGUCAGUCUCAGCUCAACAUGUCUUAUUUUCUCUUUUGCUUGCUUUCGUGUGAAGCUGGGGUUGGAUUUGGGAGAGAAGGUAGGAGGUUAAAUAAAUAGGAACUUCAUUAAACUAAACCUCUGUUAACUCCCACUCCCUUUUGCUGAGAUACAGGAAUGCACUCUCGUGCUUCACAUCCCACACAGUGCUGCUACAGGACUUCAGGUAAUGAAUGAACCAGGGUUGCCCACCCAGCACCCAGGAAACAAAGAGAAAGUGCUGUGUUCACUCCCAGACUAGUAAAGGAUGACUGAGUUUCCCACUACAGGACUGUUUGACACAUACAAACACACUUGACAUAUGCCGGCAUGUUUACACACAAGCACCACACUCAUUCAUAUCUGUGCAGUGUUAGGCUAUCUGGAUCAUACGGCCAUUUCUUUUGAUCAAAACAAAUUACUUACAUCAAGACAAUGCAUCAAAAUGGCUAACUGAAGUUCCUUUAUAAUCUUUAUGCAGAGCUUUUCUGUUUAGAAAAGGUCCCUGUUUGACCUUAUCGCCAGUGGUCCAGGCUCGGUUCACACCCUCUGCCUUUUGAAGUGGCUGCUCUGUUUGUUCACCAGCGCCAGCAGUCUGCUGGUCAGCGGUAGCUGCAUUGUUUGCAUUUUACACCAUGAGAUGAGAACACGCGGCCUCUUUCACAUCUCUCAAGCCCUGGUCCCAGCUGCAGAGUGCAUAAGGUGCAUCUUCUCACCUUGACUUAAAGUCAGCUAGGGCUCUAUGAGGCACACAACAGUGUCGUCACCUCUAGAAACUGAAACCUGAAAAGAAAAACCCCCGUUUUCCCCCUUGUGUUAUUUCAGCCUUUCACAUUAAAAAGAAAUAAAAUCAAAACUUUGGACUCCACUGCUUGACAUUUUCAGAUUUCUCACUUUUCUGUUCAGCUGGAACAAGCAAUAUUUUAUUCGCUAGAUAUUAAUCUAAAAUGUAAAGCCCCCUCCUCUUGGAAAUGUCUUUCACUUAGUGUUACUUCACUCCACUGUGCAGUAUGAUGGAUGUAUAGUUACACUAGAAGCUUCUGCUAAACGGGGACUACUCGUCUGUGUUCACCUCAACACAGCGUGUAAAACGUUGAUGUAUGAGCACGAUUUCACAACAUCAUGACUAGCUUAAAGCCAGUCGAGGUCCAAUCAUGAGCUGACACAAAUGCUAUAUAAGAAUUUGAAACCUGCAGUGCACAUACCCUGACAAUGGACUUUAGAGUACAGACAUCUUGUGUGCAGCAGUUAAGCUUUUGGCAAAAUAUUCUUCAAUACUGCAUACUUUAAGGAUGUUUAACCAAUUGAACUAGUCUUAUGUCUUAAAACAUGUUUGGUGGAGAGCUUUAAAAUUGUUUCCCAAGUUUAAACUUAGUUUACAACUGGAACCAUAUCUUCUUGUCUGUUUGGACAAAUAAUAUGGUAUCCUAUACUAUAUAUAAACUUUAAUCUAUGUAAAAUAACAUUAACAUAGAUUAGCUAAUAUGUAAAAAGUAAGAGCAAAGAGAGUUAUAUGACUUCCAUCUUUGUGCCAUCAUUUGACUAAAGAAGUUGUAAAUGGGCUAAAAAUCUUCUUCACUGCAGAGCCCACCGAGUAGCUGCUAACAUCUUCAUGUGUUGUUAAACAACCGGCAGGGUGUCUCACCAUUUGGUUUGAAUUUACUGAACCUUGAGAAGAACAGAUGCUUUCUGACUCAAAUGUGGCCAUCAAUGCAAAAGUGAAAUGUAAAACAAUGAUUACAUGAGAAGCCCAAACUACCUGAAGCCAUGACUCACUAACUGCUCAUGCAUAUUCCCCGUUCUAAAAUGAUUCAGCACAUGGUAAAAAGAAACGCAGUCACAAUCACAGGAUUUACACAAAGACAAAGUCGUUUUAGAGUCUGGAAAGUUAGAAAAGUGAAAGUAUACUUGUUAACCGGAAAAGUUCUCAGACUUUAUGAAUCAUUACUAAGAGGAACUACUGAAGAUAUGGAGUUACAUGUAUUCUAGACUGCAAGGCAACGCGUUAAUUGAAGAACAAAUAAUUCACUUGUUCGCUUUAUCACGAGUAGCGGAAUCAUGAAUAGAGUAAAGAGAAAUACAUGUGCUGUGGUGAACCAAUGCUGUGUUCACUGACAGUGAAGACAAACCAUCUGAAACUGAAGAGGGGAAGCUGUCGAAGUAUCAUGUUAAGUUCCUCUUGUCAUGACAGCUCCACCGGCACCGUAAAUGGAAGGAGCUUCAUUCACAAAUUUGCCCCCUGUGAACCCAUGACAGCACCUGGUGGCACCCCUGACACUGACACCGGCAGAUCGCUUACAGCUCGUAAAAAUGCCAACAUGCUUGGACACAGAGAACUUUCCCUUGCAGAGCUACCACAGAAGUGCAAGAACAUUUAAUGCACAGGCAAAGUGAAUCAUUGAUUUUUAUAGUUAAACUGCAUUCAAAAAUGCUAGAUUGCUGCAAUAUCGUACUUACUGUAAAUAGGGUGAAACCAAAUAAACCCCACUGUGCACCAGUAUUUCCCAUUACAUAUGGCUCCAUAGAUUAGAUUUCAGAUGAUAAAUAGUCUAAACUGACUUAUGUAAUGGUAUUAAAGUAGUUUGCCGUGACUCUGUGGCACUAAAAGUCAGUGAGUAUGUAGUGGGACAAAAAUAGAAAGGCACUGGCUGUCAUUUAAUCCUUCUAUAGAAAAGAUGUGGUCAACUACACUAAUGUGCACAUAUGUGUGUGUGCAUGUUCACAUACACCUUUACAUUUCUAUGAGACUGCAUCUUAUCUCCCCAUCCAGCCACCCUCACAACAGAGGAUCUCAUUUAUCUUUUCUUUCAUUUUGCACAGAUCUUAGAGGUACAAUACUUCCCAUAAUUCCCUGAAGCAGCAAGUAAGUAGAUUAAAAAGUGUCCAGACAUGCUGCAGGUGAGCGGUUAACCCUGCAUUCCCAGGCUCAGUGUGAAAAAAACAGCCAGACAGCUGUGGGAGGUCUCUGAGUGCCUGUAACUUGGCAGGAGUGUGUUUAAAAGAAUGCCCUCUCCUGAGUCAGACAUCAGCACAGGCUGCCACUUGCUCCUGUCCAACUGAUCUGCCCGCCCUCACAAGGGAAAGUACUUUCCAGGAAUCGUGCUCCAUCAUUCUCUGUGCCCAGUCAAGCACUUUUACUUCAUUUAAACCCAUCACUUUGUUUGGGUUAAAAGGGGUUUCUUAAAAUAACAUUCUGUACUAUAAGGCGCAGCAAAAAGCUAUAAAGUUCUGACCUAAAUUUAAACAGCAGCCUCUAAUCAAAGGCAUGGCUCCAAGUCACAAAUAGUGCCAAUACAACUGAAAGCGAUCUUAAAGCCGCUACCACACACUACACUGCUGAACAAGCCACAGUAUAAAGAGCUGUCACAGACUGUAUAGACUUAAAAUGCACUAUAUUAAAAGACUAUUGGUGAGGCCGUGUCAUUUCUUGUCUUGAUAUAUAAACUCUGUCAUGGACACAACUGCUGAGCUUUUCACUUGGGCUGUAUUUUAUUAUGGAAGUUUGUAGACAGGAGAGUUCAACAGUUGAUAAGAUCUUGGAAAAAAAACUGUGUUCUUUAAAACCUUUGACUACUAGCACUACUAUGGGUGGAUGUUGAAUUGCACAUGCUGUGCAGACAUCGUCAGCCUAAGUCAUGCACCUGAGCAUUCUGCUGGUUUUUAUUAGCUGCCAUUUCACUGACUGGUGAAUUUCUCUCUAGGUGAAUCCCAAUUCCCCUAAUUGCAUCCACAUUUCCCUCACUUGCAUAUUUUCUUUGCAUCAUAGCCUCGCCCAUGUAAGAUGCGAGGACAAACUGCAAGGAGAGAGGAACUGAGGAAACGUUUAAAGCAACAUGAAAAGUCCUUUCCUCUGAUCAUUAAUGCGAAGCGUCCAAUCACAAUCUGAUUUCGGAUAAAGGGGAGUGUAAAUCUGUAACAAGACUUACAUGAAGGAUGCACUCACGUGUCCUUGGUUAUAGCUCCUCCAGGAAGCCUCCUCACUCCUUGCUCCUCAAAACAGAAAUAAGUGCUUUGGGACGUCCUUCAUCAUGACAGACUGGAAUGAUUUCCAGGUUGAGCAAGGAUCAAAGUACAAAGAGCGAUAAAUAAAGGAAGUUCUCAACUUCUUAUGUGAUUGUUGGUCAGUCCUUGAUCCUCUGAAGUCAUUUUGGUCAAGGGAGCAUCAAGAACAUCCCAAGAGCCAUGAGCAAGGAUACAAGAGACAUCCUCCACAUAAGUGUUUUAUGACCAACACUCCAUUUUCAGGAAUCAGUCAGUGACUGAAUUCUUCAGAUGAAGGAUCAGAGGUAAGGACGCCACAUGUCGGUAUAAAUGUGUUUACUUGAUUCCUCUAUCCUUGACUUUUUUCCUCACAUCUUACUAAGACACUGGACUAAGACACAAGGAAAUGCAAGUGAGGGAACUAUGGAGGGGCAUAGGAGAAUUGAGAGGUACCCCUAGUCACCUCCUAAUGAGCACAGGUCAAAGCUCAACAAAUGUGAACUUUUGGCUCACCACGACAUUCAUGCAGUCGUUACAACACAACACACACAACAGUGACAAGGCACACGCAAACUGCUUUCCAUAGUAAUGUAAAUACACAUAUAGCACGAGCUGUUUUUGUGACUGUCAGACUGUACUGUAUAUAGAACACUGCUUGGUCCUAAUGCUGUUAAAGUUGUUGUAUUAUGUGUUUGUACUGUUACUGUAUACUGAAAUCAAUAAAUUAGCACUGAUGAAUGACUUCUGUAUUUUUCAGUGACUCUGAAGAUGCAUUUGUAUGUUUGUUUAUCUGAAGACUGGUUGCAUUUUGACAAGACUGUCUGCACUAAAUUCAUUUUACAC